rnacentral:rRNA from 1 species
GAUGAACGCUGGCGGCGUGCCUAAUACAUGCAAGUCGAGCGAACAGAUGAGAAGCUUGCUUCUCUGAUGUUAGCGGCGGACGAGUGAGUAACACGUGGGUAACCUACCUAUAAGACUGGGAUAACUCCGGGAAACCGGGGCUAAUACCGGAUAAUAUUUUGAACCGCAUGGUUCGAUAGUGAAAGACGGUUUCGGCUGUCCCUUAUAGAUGGACCCGCGCCGUAUUAGCUAGUUGGUAAGGUAACGGCUUACCAAGGCGACGAUACGUAGCCGACCUGAGAGGGUGAUCGGCCACACUGGAACUGAGACACGGUCCAGACUCCUACGGGAGGCAGCAGUAGGGAAUCUUCCGCAAUGGGCGAAAGCCUGACGGAGCAACGCCGCGUGAGUGAUGAAGGUCUUCGGAUCGUAAAACUCUGUUGUUAGGGAAGAACAAAUUUGUUAGUAACUGAACAAGUCUUGACGGUACCUAACCAGAAAGCCACGGCUAACUACGUGCCAGCCGCCGCGGUAA